AAAAAAAGUUCAAAUUUUUUGUAAUGUUGAAUUCUCUCUUAUUAUAAGUAAUAUGAUAACUAUAUUUGAUAUGUGCGUACCUUGCAAGGUCCUCAUGUCUGUCAGACAGUUUUCACUUGACCUCGACCUCAUUUCAUGGAUCAGUGACCAAGGUUAAGUUUUGGUGGUCAAGUCCAUAUCUCAGAGACUAUAAGCAAUAGGGCUAGUAUAUUCGGUGUAUGGAAGGACUGUAAGGUGUACAUGUCUAACUGGCAGGUGUCAUCUGACCUUGACCUCAUUUUCAUGGUUCAGUGGUUAUAGUUAAAUUUUUGUGUUUUGGUCUGUUGUUCUCAUACUAUAUGCAAUAGGUCUACUAUAUUUGUUGUAUGGAAUGAUUGUAAGGUGUACAUGUCUAGCGGGCAGAUGUCAUGUGACCUUGACCUCAUUUUCAUGGUUCAGUGGUCAAAGUUAAGUUUUUGAGUUUUGGUCUUUUUAUCUAAUACUAUAUGCCACAGGUCAACUAUAUUUGGUGUAUGGAAAUAUUUAAUGAUCUUUAUGUCAGUCGCGCAGAUUUUAUUUGACCGUGACCUCAUUUUCACGGUUCAUUGCACAGUGUUAAGUUUUUGUGUUUUGGUCUAUUUUUCUUAAACUAUAAGUAAUAGGUCAACUAUAUAUGUUGUAUAGAAGCAUUGUUAGCUGUACAUGUCUGCCUGGCAUGGUUCAUCUGACCUUGACCUCAUUUUCAAGGUUCAUUGGUCUUUGUUUA
rnacentral:lncRNA from 1 species